GGGUGGGUACCCAAGUGGCCAAAGGGAUUUGGCUGUAAACCAAAUGGCUCUGCCUUCGUAGGUUCGAAUCCUACCCCACCCA
rnacentral:tRNA from 1 species